UCUCAACAACAACAACAACAACAAACCCAGUGUAUUCCCACUUAGUGGGGUCUGGGGGGGUAAGAUGUACGCAGUCCAUACCUCUACCUCUGAUGAAGUAGAAAGGCUGUUUCCGAAAGACCCCUGGCUCAAGUCACGAGAUAUCACACAAACACAUAGUACAGCACAGAAGCAGAUGACAUAACAUAGAUACGGCACCCAUAAGGAAUAUAAAACAGAGUAAAGCAGGAAGGCAGGAAUAUAAAGCAGAGGAAAGCACACA
rnacentral:lncRNA from 1 species